GAAAUAUGAGAUUCAGAAAAAAGCUGCUAACUUUUAUUCUUAAUGGUUAAACUCCAUUAAUAUUUCU
rnacentral:tRNA from 1 species